GGAUGUGAGGGCGAUCUGGCUGGCUAGGUGGGUUUCCCCUUCCUCCCUGUCCCUCCCUCUUCAUCCCUCACCGCUCCACGUGUGUGCGGCCCUCCCCAAGGACAGCCUCCCAAAUAGAGACAGACCUGUCUUCGCUUGAGGGUAUGUAAGUAGCUGCGCUGUCCUGCUAGAACCUCCAAACAAGCUCCCAAGAAAUAUUUUAGGUGUAUUGCACUAAAGUAAAAGACUGG
rnacentral:snRNA from 1 species